rnacentral:rRNA from 1 species
AGCGAACGCUGGCGGCAAGCUUAACACAUGCAAGUCGAACGAGAUCUUCGGAUCUAGUGGCGGACGGGUGCGUAACACGUGGGAAUCUGCCUUUAGGUAAGGAAUAACUCAGGGAAACUUGAGCUAACACCUUAUAAUGUCUUCGGACCAAAAAUUUAUUGCCUAAAGAUGAGCCCGCGGUAGAUUAGCUAGUUGGUGGGGUAAUGGCCUACCAAGGCGACGAUCUAUAGCUGGUCUUAGAGGAUGAUCAGCCACACUGGGACUGAGACACGGCCCAGACUCCUACGGGAGGCAGCAGUGGGGAAUAUUGGGCAAUGGGCGAAAGCCUGACCCAGCUAUGCCGCGUGAAUGAUGAAGGCCUUAGGGUUGUAAAGUUCUUUUAGAUGGGAAGAUAAUGACGGUACCAUCAGAAAAAGCUCCGGCUAACUUCGUGCCAGCCGCCGCAGUAA